CGGUGACGUCAUCCUGGGACCUCGUCACCGCGGCGGCCGCUCCUCAAGUUCUACUUUGUUCCACAAGGCUCCUCUGCUCACGGCUGCGUGGACAAAACCCAAAGGGAACCUAGCUCGGCCUGGCAGGAGUUUAUAACUUUGUACUUUUCCCUCCCUUGUAACGAAAACCUCAUCACAAUUGUUUCUAGGAACACAUUUUUCUCCUGAUAGACGUUCCCAAGGUGGAGGGCGCGACAAGGCUGGCCCGUGGGGCUGAGGAGCCCCUGCCGGCCUCAGUGGCGCCACAAAGCGGGCUCUAAACCAUUAAGCGGGGAAAUAAUUUUCCAAGAGACCAGGAGUUGGACUUUUUGAAGCCAUCGAAAACCGCCGCUAGGCACUCCCGCUGGGGUUUUGAGAGAGGUAGGUGAGGAGGCAUCAGACAUCUCCACACACACUUGAAAGAACGGCCUUGAGCUGCGCCCAACUUCUGCAAUCCCGGUUUUCCCCAAGUUCAAGGGGAAGGGCCCUGGCGCCCAAUGCCCGGCCUCCCCGACAACAUCCUCGCCAGGGUGCCCCUGCCCCGCCGGCCCAAGAGUCCGCUGUCCCCGGCAGGCGGCCCUGGGUUCGAGGACCCGGCUUCCUAGAGGAGUGACUCUCCAAACAAGCGGGGCUCCAGAAAACCCACCGACGCGAAGGGGGUGAGGAUACAAGGAGAAGACAGCAAACCGCAAAGCAUACCCUCACCAGACACCGGAUCUGCUGGCACCUUGAUCUUUAACUUCCCCACCUCCAAACUUUGGCUUCCAAAGGAUGCAGUGUUGCAAGAUGGCUCCAGACUUUGAAUCCUGUUUUUGGGCAGGAAGACCAAAAGCUAAAUACAAAAGGUAUAUACUAACUGAUUCUGUC